rnacentral:lncRNA from 1 species
GACCUGAGAGGGCAGUGGCGCACCAGUCUCCAUGAAGGUUGAGCUCCGAUGGCCAACAGCCAUUUCCACCUUGUGGUCUACAACUCUUCAUCCCGACUGCAUGGAGGUUGGUCUCUCUCUUCAGCUGGAUUUAGGCCACCAUCUGAGCCCCCGGGGUACGUUUUGUCUGACCCUGGCGCCAUUCGAACGGUUCUUCUACAGCAUCAGUUCUCUUUCCUGCCACCAUGUGAAGAAGGACAUGUUUGCUUCCCCUUCUGCCAUGAAUGGACAGGGUCCUGCUGUGUUGCCCAGGCUGGCCUUGAACUCCUGGCUUCAAACAGUCUUCCCACUUGGGCUCCCAAAGUGCUGGGAUUAAAGGGGCGAGUUACAGCACCAGGACCUGAAAUGCAUCAUGUGUCAUUCUCACAGCUGUUAGGACUUCAAUGAUGUUAUAAGGAAGUUGGGGCUCAGAGAAGCUACAGAACUUACCCAAGGACACACAGCCAUCACGAAAAACAUGGCCAGCAAAGCAGGUGAGGCAAAGAUCAGGAAGGACAUUAAACGCCAAACUAAGGAGCGGAACUGAAUGAGCAGUGAAGGGGAACAAUGGCUUCAGCAGGUCCACUGGGCUCCUCUUUUCUGUCAGCCUCCCCCUACCCCUCACCUCUGUACUACUCAUGUUACUAUCUACGUCUCUUCACCAAUGUCAUUGUGGAAAUAAAAGCUUAUCUGUAAGAGUA